rnacentral:lncRNA from 1 species
AGAAGAAUUUAAGAAAUUGAUGAAUUUAAGAAGAAAAACAUAAUUAGAAAUUAUGAUGAUUUGACUUUUAUAAAUGAUUGACAGUAUGAAUAUGAUUUCAUGAAAUUAUAUAUUGAUUUGUUAUGCAUAGUAUUAUUUGCCUGAUUUAUUCAGUUAAAGGUAUACACUGCUUACUGGGCUGUUUAGCUCAUGAUGAGUUUUAUGUUUUUCUUACAGAUCCAGAAAAUUAACAUGAUGCGGAAUUUCGGUUGGG